AAUAACCUACACUAGUCCUAAGCUAUGCUUUAUCCGAUGCCUCGGACCUUCACCACGAACAUCUUCCAAGCACAAGGUACUUCGGGGUAUUCCCCGGUGAAUAAAUACAUACAGAUACUUCGGGGUAUUCCCCGGUGAAUAAAUACAUACAGAUAUUUCGGGGCAUUCCCCGGCCAAAUGAGUACAAUUUAAACGUUUCGUGCAAUAAAGUAGAAAGUACCAUUUAUGCACAUAUUCAAACAUUCCAACAAAUUGUUAUUCCUAAAUUGGCCUAUCAGGCCUACGUUUGCCUACGCUUUUGCCGAUCUUAUCAUAAUACUACUGCAUUUCAACCAUAUUUAAACCAAAUUAAACCAAAAGUCUUUAAUCAAUCCAAAUUCACCAUUUUAUCAAAUUCUCGAUUCCGCCCUAAUUUUCAUUUUAAUACUAAAUUUUCACAAUUCACCAUUUCUAUUUCAGCGAUCCACAAUCACUUGUCAACGAAAUUAAAGAACGAGUCAAUAUCAAAAUAACAACCUAUCACCAAUCAAGACAACAUGCAUUCAUCACCAACAAGUAUCAAACAACACCCGAAGCUUAAUCCAAACACCAAAGCAUAGUAGACAAUAAAAUAGAAGAGGAAAAGAGUAGAAUUGGACCUUUCGAUAGUCGAUUUCGUUGAUAAUAACAUUUAAGAAGGCCUGGACUUCAGAACUUGGAACAGAACCUCAACAGCGACAUACUCUGACUCGAUAUAGAAAUUUGAAACCCCAAGGUUGACCUCGAUAGACUGAUCGCACGAAAGGAAAGCAAAAAAAAACAGAAACCCAAACUGAAAUCGAACUUAAAUGUCAAAACUAGCACCGAGCUUGAUGAACCAAUACGGAGAUCGCAAUAAGAGAGUUAACGAAUUCGAAAGUCCAGUGGACCCGUUGGAACAGUAACGAAAACAAUGACUGGGUGUUUUUCGGUGGAUUUCAAACUGAAAAACGAAGACCCUUUGCUACGCCUGAGCUCCGGUAAGUUCGGCAGCAACUGGAAACGAAGAUGCGAUCUGCAGCGACAACGUUUCCGGCAACGGCGCUGGUGAGGUUGCCGAUGGUGGCUACUACGGCGAGGACGAACGGAGGGAGAUGGUGAUGACGACGUUAUUUCUGCCGUCGUUGGCCGACCGGAGAGGACGAACGGAGGGAGAUGGUGAUGACGACGUUAUUGCUGCCGUCGUUGGUCGACCGGAGAGGACGAACGGAGGGAGAUGGUGAUGACGUUAUUGCUGCCGUGGUUGAGUUCGCCGGACUCCGACAUCGUUGGCUGUUACUGUUACUGGUUCGUGGUCGAAAUCAGUGGUGGCGCGUAUAUGGUGUAUUUUUGUAAGAAAAUUUUUUAGUUUCUUCGGUAUGCUCUCAGUUAUGUCAAGAAGAAGAUCACUAUCAUGGAAAAAAAAAUUUUCUUUGGUGCGUAUGGUACUCUGUGUAUAUAGGCUGUGAGGAUGGGUAUUGGGGUAGGGUAGGUGGGGUAGGGUAUGGGGCAUGGGGCAUGGGGUAGUGAUGUGUUGUCUAAAAUUGAUAGGAAGAUAGGAAGAGUGGUUAAUUUUGUUACAAAAGAAUAAUUGAGGAUUAGGUUUGUAAGUGGAUUUGUUUUUUUUAUAUUUUUAUGAGAUAUAAUCAUACAGGUGAGGGCACGUGGUAAGACAGGGAUAAAAAUGUGUAACUUGGAUCUUCGGGAGGGACAGAAUUAGGUGUCUACCCCGACAAGCAAUAAAGUCCAGUAUUUUAUCACCAAACAACAAGAUGCAGCAAUAGUUUUGGUGAAAGAGCCCACAAGAGGAACAAAAAGUUGCUUCAUUAAUCUGAAACCUCAUAAUUUUGGUGAAAGCAAUUGUCUGAAUGCGCUAAACCAACUAGUUAGCAAAAUAGACCUGUUGUAUUUAUUUUAAAAAGGAUGUAUGGCUGAGGGGA